rnacentral:rRNA from 1 species
CCUACGGGUGGCAGCAGUGAGGAAUAUUGGUCAAUGGACGAGAGUCUGAACCAGCCAAGUAGCGUGAAGGAUGACUGCCCUAUGGGUUGUAAACUGCUUUUGUACGAGGGUAAAUCCCGAUACGUGUAUCGGUUUGAAAGUAUCGUACGAAUAAGGAUCGGCUAACUCCGUGCCAGCAGCCGCGGUAAUACGGAGGAUUCAAGCGUUAUCCGGAUUUAUUGGGUUUAAAGGGUGCGUAGGCGGUUCGAUAAGUUAGAGGUGAAAUCCCGGGGCUCAACUCCGGCACUGCCUCUGAUACUGUCGGGCUAGAGUUUAGUUGCGGUAGGCGGAAUGUAUGGUGUAGCGGUGAAAUGCAUAGAGAUCAUACAGAACACCGAUUGCGAAGGCAGCUUACCAAACUACGACUGACGUUGAGGCACGAAAGCGUGGGGAGCAAACAGGAUUAGAUACCCUUGUAGUC